UACGUAGGGUGCAAGCGUUAAUCGGAAUUACUGGGCGUAAAGCGUGCGCAGGCGGCUUUGCAAGACAGAUGUGAAAUCCCCGGGCUUAACCUGGGAACUGCAUUUGUGACUGCAUGGCUGGAGAGCGGCAGAGGGGGAUGGAAUUCCGCGUGUAGCAGUGAAAUGCGUAGAUAUGCGGAGGAACACCGAUGGCGAAGGCAAUCCCCUGGGCCUGCACUGACGCUCAUGCACGAAAGCGUGGGGAGCAAACAGG
rnacentral:rRNA from 1 species